UACGUAGGGGGCGAGCGUUGUCCGGAAUCAUUGGGCGUAAAGCGCGUGUAGGCGGCCCGGUAAGUCCGCUGUGAAAGUCCAGGGCUCAACCCUGGGAUGCCGGUGGAUACUGUCGGGCUCGAGUCCGGAAGAGGCGAGUGGAAUUCCUGGUGUAGCGGUGAAAUGCGCAGAUAUCAGGAGGAACACCAAUGGCGAAGGCAGCUCGCUGGGACGUGACUGACGCUGGGACGCGAAAGCGUGGGGAGCAAACAGG
rnacentral:rRNA from 1 species